UACAGAGGUCUCAAGCGUUUGUUCGGAUUCAUUGGGCGUAAAGGGUGCGUAGGCGGCGCGGUAAGUCGGGUGUGAAAUCUCGGAGCUUAACUCCGAAACUGCAUUCGAUACUGCCGUGCUUGAGGACUGGAGAGGAGACUGGAAUUUACGGUGUAGCGGUGAAAUGCGUAGAUAUCGUAAGGAAGACCAGUGGCGAAGGCGGGUCUCUGGACAGUUCCUGA
rnacentral:rRNA from 1 species